rnacentral:rRNA from 1 species
AACGAACGCUGGCGGCAGGCCUAACACAUGCAAGUCGAGCGAGGACUUCGGUUCUAGCGGCGGACGGGUGAGUAACGCGUGGGAAUGUGCCCUUCUCUACGGAAUAGCCCUGGGAAACUGGGAGUAAUACCGUAUACGCCCUAUUGGGGAAAGAUUUAUCGGAGAAGGAUCAGCCCGCGUUGGAUUAGGUAGUUGGUGGGGUAAUGGCCUACCAAGCCGACGAUCCAUAGCUGGUUUGAGAGGAUGAUCAGCCACACUGGGACUGAGACACGGCCCAGACUCCUACGGGAGGCAGCAGUGGGGAAUCUUAGACAAUGGGGGCAACCCUGAUCUAGCCAUGCCGCGUGAGUGAUGAAGGCCUUAGGGUUGUAAAGCUCUUUCAGCUGGGAAGAUAAUGACGGUACCAGCAGAAGAAGCCCCGGCUAACUCCGUG